rnacentral:rRNA from 1 species
GAUGAACGCUGGCGGCGUGCUUAAUACAUGCAAGUCGAGCGGCAGCACGACCUUCGGGUUGGUGGCGAGCGGCGGACGGCUGAGUAACGCGUAGGAAUAUACCCCAAAGUGAGGAAUAACUGCCCGAAAGGGUAGCUAAUACCGCAUAAGGUCUUCGGAUUAAAGGAUUUAUCCGCUUUGGGAAUAGCCUGCGUUCGAUUAGCUUGUUGGUGAGGUAAUAGCUCACCAAGGCGACGAUCGAUAGCUGGUCUGAGAGGAUGACCAGCCAGACUGGAACUGAGACACGGUCCAGACUCCUACGGGAGGCAGCAGUAGGGAAUUUUCCACAAUGGGCGAAAGCCUGAUGGAGCAACGCCGCGUGCAGGAUGAAGGCCUUCGGGUCGUAAACUGCUUUUAUGUGCGAAGAAUAUGACGGUAACAC